rnacentral:rRNA from 1 species
AAAGUCGUAACAAGGUUUCCGUAGGUGAACCUGCGGAAGGAUCAUUACCGUUACUCUGUGUCUUGCACACACUGUAAACCACUGUGAACUGUUCCGAGCUUGUGGGGUGGUUCUUCUUUGCAGGAGAAUCUCAAAUGCAGUUAGACAGCCGAGGCUGGCUGCUGCGGCCCCACAUGUCUGUCUCUUAUGUUUUUCAAAACACUCGUCAAUUCAUUCCAGUUGAAUAGUAUCACUCUGGCCAGUCCAGUUUGAUACACAGUUUAAACACAUGACAACUUCUAACGGUGGAUCUCUUGGCUCGUGCAUCGAUGAAGAACGUAGCCAGUUGCGAUAAGUAGUGUGAAUUGCAGAAUUCAGUGAAUCAUCGAAUCUUUGAACGCAAAUUGCGCUCUCUGGAUAUCCAGGGAGCAUGCCUGUCUGAGUGUCGUGAUAAAGACUACACACCCCUGGUGUGGCAUGUGGGUAUCGAGUUUGCAGAUUGCUCAGGCGUUCUGUACUAAACUCGUCCUGCGAAGUGCGUGAACCUGAAUGUGCUGCUGACUGCAUGUGCAUUGGGAAGGCUCAACUUGCUUCUGUCUUUCCCUCUGCGUUCUCAUGCCAGCAGUAUCAUUGUAGAUGGUGAACAAGACGGUGUCCCACCCAUGGGGCGGGCACGAUGUCAAUUUCUGAUUUUGACCUCAGAUCAAACAAGACUACCCGCUGAAUUUAACCAUAUCAAUAAACGGAGGAAAUCACUAGUGAAUUUCCCGCCCCCCUCAGGUCACCAUAUGGGAAAGCUCCCAACCCCUUGGAAUGCUUAACUUGAGUAUUCCAUAAUGUCCCCCAAAUAAGCUUGGGCUUAAUCCUGGUCAAAAACUUGUUUCCUGGUGUUGAAAUUGGUUUUCCGCUUCCCAAUUCCCCACCACAAAUAUCUAACCCCGGAAAGCCUAUAAGGUGAUAAAACCCUGGGGGUUGCCUUAAAAAGAUGUAAACUAAACCUCCACAUAUAAUAUUCUGUUUGUCGCCUCACGCUCCCCGCCCUUUUUACAGCAUACUGGAAAAUACUUUGUUUCUUGUCCCACUCCUCAUUUAUAUAUAAAUCCUCCCCCACAUCACUCGCCUUGUGAAAAAAGAGUUUGUUUUCUGUUUUAUUUAGUGUGUGGGCAAUUCUUUUGAUCUCUUUCUUCCGUCGCUCUCAUGUCAAAUAAGCUAUGCU